UCAAUGGACGCAAGUCUGAACCAGCCAUGCCGCGUGGAGGAUGAAGGUCCUCUGGAUUGUAAACUUCUUUUAUCUGGGAAGAAACCCGACUUUUCUAAGGCGGUUGACGGUACCAGAUGAAUAAGCACCGGCUAACUCCGUGCCAGCAGCCGCGGUAAU
rnacentral:rRNA from 1 species